rfam:Asian citrus Psyllid, Diaphorina citri - Florida Strain, whole genome shotgun sequence.
GCUCCCAUGGCGUAGUGGUCACUGCACUCGCCUUGCACGCGGGAGAUCCGGGUUCGAUUCCCGGCGGGGUCA